rnacentral:rRNA from 2 species
GCUGACGAGUGGCGGACGGGUGAGUAAUGUCUGGGAAACUGCCUGAUGGAGGGGGAUAACUACUGGAAACGGUGGCUAAUACCGCAUAACGUCGCAAGACCAAAGAGGGGGACCUUCGGGCCUCUUGCCAUCAGAUGUGCCCAGAUGGGAUUAGCUUGUUGGUGAGGUAACGGCUCACCAAGGCGACGAUCCCUAGCUGGUCUGAGAGGAUGACCAGCCACACUGGAACUGAGACACGGUCCAGACUCCUACGGGAGGCAGCAGUGGGGAAUAUUGCACAAUGGGCGCAAGCCUGAUGCAGCCAUGCCGCGUGUAUGAAGAAGGCCUUCGGGUUGUAAAGUACUUUCAGCGGGGAGGAAGGUGUUGUGGUUAAUAACCGCAGCAAUUGACGUUACCCGCAGAAGAAGCACCGGCUAACUCCGUGCCAGCAGCCGCGGUAAUACGGAGGGUGCAAGCGUUAAUCGGAAUUACUGGGCGUAAAGCGCACGCAGGCGGUCUGUCAAGUCGGAUGUGAAAUCCCCGGGCUCAACCUGGGAACUGCAUUCGAAACUGGCAGGCUUGAGUCUUGUAGAGGGGGGUAGAAUUCCAGGUGUAGCGGUGAAAUGCGUAGAGAUCUGGAGGAAUACCGGUGGCGAAGGCGGCCCCCUGGACAAAGACUGACGCUCAGGUGCGAAAGCGUGGGGAGCAAACAGGAUUAGAUACCCUGGUAGUCCACGCCGUAAACGAUGUCUACUUGGAGGUUGUGCCCUUGAGGCGUGGCUUCCGGAGCUAACGCGUUAAGUAGACCGCCUGGGGAGUACGGCCGCAAGGUUAAAACUCAAAUGAAUUGACGGGGGCCCGCACAAGCGGUGGAGCAUGUGGUUUAAUUCGAUGCAACGCGAAGAACCUUACCUGGUCUUGACAUCCACAGAACUUUCCAGAGAUGGAUUGGUGCCUUCGGGAACUGUGAGACAGGUGCUGCAUGGCUGUCGUCAGCUCGUGUUGUGAAAUGUUGGGUUAAGUCCCGCAACGAGCGCAACCCUUAUCCUUUGUUGCCAGCGGUCCGGCCGGGAACUCAAAGGAGACUGCCAGUGAUAAACUGGAGGAAGGUGGGGAUGACGUCAAGUCAUCAUGGCCCUUACGACCAGGGCUACACACGUGCUACAAUGGCGCAUACAAAGAGAAGCGACCUCGCGAGAGCAAGCGGACCUCAUAAAGUGCGUCGUAGUCCGGAUUGGAGUCUGCAACUCGACUCCAUGAAGUCGGAAUCGCUAGUAAUCGUGGAUCAGAAUGCCACGGUGAAUACGUUCCCGGGCCUUGUACACACCGCCCGUCACACCAUGGGAGUGGGUUGCAAAAGAAGUAGGUAGCUUAACCUUCGGGAGGGCGCUUACCACUUUGUGAUUCAUGACUGGGGUGAAGUCGUAACAAGGUAACCGUAGGGGAACCUGCGGUUGGAUCACCUCCUUA